CUGAGAUGCAAAGGAGUCUGAACUUGAAGUUGUCUCCUGAGCCUGUGAAUUCAAGGCCAUUCCCAGUUUCUCUUUUAUCAAACAUCCAUCUUGACCAGCAUGAUUUAUUGAAGAUUUUGUCUUUUCCCCCCUGCAUAUUUCUGGCUUCUUCAUCAAAAAUCAG